CCGCGCUAGUCGGGGAGUCAGCGGUGCCCUGUAGCCUGCAACCCGCUAUAGCAGGGAUGAAUUCCCGCCCCAGGGAACGCGCUGUGCCGCCAGCCCGGGGUAAGCGGCGUUGACGGGCCGGUCUCGCGCAACAUGGAUCCGUGAAUCAUGUCAGGCGGGGAACCGAGCAGCAUUAAGCGGAGACCCGUGUGUGCCGCGAGGCGACCGGCCCCGAGCCGGCUGCCCCGGUAACGGGUAUAACGCGGCUUUCAAAGGCGGGUGCGCGG
rnacentral:SRP_RNA from 1 species